UGCGUAGGCGGUUUAUUAAGUCAGAUGUGAAAGCCCCGGGCUUAACCUGGGAACUGCAUUUGAUACUGGUAGACUAGAGUAUGGUAGAGGGGGUAGAAUUCCUAGUGUAGCGGUGAAAUGCGUAGAUAUUAGGAGGAAUACCAGUGGCGAAGGCGGCCCCCCUGGACCAAUACUGACGCUGAGGUACGAAAGCGUGGGUAGCGAACA
rnacentral:rRNA from 1 species